UGGUUGGUUGGGGUCCUGACAUCACCUAUCCCUGUGCCGUGAAGGUUUCGGGUCUUGUUCUCAUUUGACUUUACGCUGAGAGCCGAGUCUCCGCCAGAGCAGGAUAUAUAUUUUAAAAAAAUAAAAAUAAAAAAUAAAAACCCAUCUGCCCAGCUCUCCUUUAAAGCAGUCGUUCUCAAACUGCUCAAUACCAGAAGGGUCAGGAGCGCUUGUCGAAACACAGAAUGCUGAGCUCCACUCCAGAGGUCCUGACUCGGCAUUUCUAACGAAUUCCCACCUGGUGUUGAUGCUGCUGGUCCGGGGACCACACUUGAAGGACUGCUAGUCUCAAUGUUUUAAGCUGGCUCCUGGAUACGGUGACCUCCUCCCAAGUCCGAGGAGCUGGCUCUUUGGCCCGGCUGUGCCACGGCCCGGCUCCGUCCGCCCACACGCCAGGACUGCUCCGUCUCUGCUUUGCGGUCCGCGUAGGCACACGGGGACAUUGCGGCCCGUGUCAAAAGGCCACGAGGCCCUGAAAGUUACCGUAGCAGAACCGGAAACCUUACCAGGGUCCCUGCUAGCUUUUAGGAGAAGCACUUGAAGCUUCAGGGAAGAGAAGUUUACAUCCUGGGAAAACCCCGGCUCCAGCAGCCAAACUUUGAACAGGAGGCAGCGGCCGGGUGUCUCCCCCACGCCCUUCCAAAGGCCACGGGACUCCCGGCCGUCAUCUGUGAGGGGCUCCGUGUACUUUCCACACUGCCUGGUCUGUGCCUCAGCCCACAAUCUCUUUCUUUCUUGAGCCUUACAGGAGAAGGUGAGAAGGGCUAAGAUAUGCGUUCCCUGUCACAAUUAAAAUAAAGUCCAAACUCCUGACCAUGGCCUGCCUGGCGCUCAGACCUCCUCUCCCUGCUCUCCAGCUCGUCAGCUCCACUCUGACGCUCUGGCCUCCCUGCUGUCCCUCCAACACCAAUCUUUUUCCGUCCCGAAUCUCUGCGUUCCCGCUGUCUGCUAAGCCAAGGAUCCAGAUGGGACACGAGACUGGUGGUUCGGGCGGUCCCUCUCCAGAGAGAGCUUCCUGUUCCCCCUCCAUAAGGCAGCCCCACUUCCCACCCAUUCCUUCUGUCCCUAUCUUCAGAGGACUUGUCACCAUCCGACACCAUCUCCAGGAUGGAAGUUCCACGAAGGCCACAACCUCGUCUGCCUUUCCCAGCCGUGUCCCCAGCACCUGGACCGUGCCUGGCACAUCAUACGGGUUCAAUAAAGAUUUAUGGAAUGAAUCUGUGGCCUCUGCCAGAUAUACUAUGAGAGGCCAGGUCUAGAAUCCUUAAGCGACAUACCCCAGACCUUGAUUCGAAAGUCCAGAGUCUGGCUCUGGGUUUACUGCUUCACAGCUCGUUCAGAUGGGAAAAACCGGGGUCACAGAUGUCACCGCUACUGUCACUCUGGACAAAGCCCUCCACUUGUGUUGCCCUGACCUGCCUCACCCACCAAAUGGCUGGAUAACAUCGGUGUCGCCUGCCCCCAAGACUGUGUCAAGGCUCAGAUGAGGCCUGUUUCUGCACCCUGAGUACCUGUAAAACACCGGGAACACUUCCUAAUGAGUCACUUUCACUGGAAUAUUCCGUCACGAUCUGCUUCUGGGGAACCUAGCUUAAAACCGGAACAUGUCGAUUUCUUGACCG